CGAUAAUCGAUAUAUAUGCGGCGAUUAUCGAUGAUGCUGCAGCUGGGAGCGAGGGAGCUGUGAUCGUGGCGUCGAUAAUCGAGGUGAAUGUCUGAUAAUCAGGACUUAGUUUGGGAACAUGGAGAGAAGAUUGGCAUUGGCUUCAAGUGCAAAAUUGUGCAUAUAUGUGUAAUUUAUCUAAUAUAAUACAAUACAUAACCUAAAAAAUUAAAUGCUAUCAAACCUUUAUAUUUUUUCCAC